GUUGCGCGCGCGCCGCCACGCGUCGGUUAUUUUUAACGAAAACUUCCGAUCGACCGUACGAUAUUUUAAAAUCAUUAUUAAUAGAAUUCCUAUUACAUUACGAAUAAUAUUUAAAAUAACGUAUGUAAAACAAAAUUCCAAAAGUGACAAAGCCCAGUGGAAUUGCGUGAGAAUAAUGAAUCACAGUAUUUGAGACUGCAGUAUACUCCUGAAGUUCGUGUGAAGUGUUGUGUUGUGAAAGAUGUGCAUUUUAAAACAUUAGGGGACCAAGACUCGGCGUGACAGAGAUUGUUGUGAAGGCUCUGUGCGGUGUGACGUAAUAUGCGUGCAGUGCGUGCGUGCGAGCGGCAGACACGCGGCGCCGGCGCGCCUCCGAUAACCAGUAGGGAUCAGUGAGGGGUUGAAAAUGAGCGUCACAGAAGCCAGCGAGGAGCCGAUACCGGCGGCCCCCGCCACAACCCCAGUGGGGCCAGCAGUGACAACACCAGGGACGCUGCCAGCGCAGGACGGGGGGGCCCUCAUCCCCGUGCCACCCACAGCCCCCAGAAAACCACCCAGAAGAGGACCCAAGGUCCAGCAAGAGCGUCCGAAGAGGGCCCUCUUCUGUCUGACGCUCAAGAACCCUUUGAGGAAACUGUGUAUUGAUAUUGUCGAAUGGAAACCGUUUGAGUGGAUGAUCCUGACCACCAUCUUCGCAAACUGCAUCGCUCUCGCCGUCUACACUCCGUAUCCAGCCAGCGAUUCUAACUACACCAACUGGGUUCUGGAAAAAAUUGAGUACGUGUUCCUGGUGAUAUUCACGGGAGAAUGCGUGAUGAAGAUCAUCGCGUACGGGUUCGUGAUGCAUCCAGGCUCGUACCUCAGGAACGGGUGGAAUCUGCUUGACUUCACUAUAGUUGUUAUUGGCAUGGUUAGCACAGUACUAUCGAGCAUAUUCAAGGAUGCGUUCGAUGUGAAGGCGCUGAGGGCGUUCAGGGUGCUGAGGCCACUAAGGCUCGUAUCUGGAGUGCCAAGUCUCCAAAUCGUGCUCAACUCGAUCUUAAAAGCCAUGGUGCCAUUGCUCCACAUCGCGCUGCUGGUCAUCUUCGUGAUCAUCAUCUACGCCAUCAUCGGCUUGGAGCUCUUCUCUGGGAAGAUGCACAAGAGCUGCUACAAUAAGUACACAGAUGAAAUCAUGGACAGCCCGCACCCAUGCGACUUGGACAACGGGUUCAACUGCUCGACCCUCGGCGAAGAGAUGGAGUGCCGCGACGGCUGGAUUGGGCCUAACUUCGGCAUCACCAACUUCGAUAACUUCGGCCUAUCCAUGCUCACUGUGUUCCAGUGUAUCACGCUUGAGGGGUGGACUGAUGUUAUGUAUAAUAUCCAGGAUGCCAUGGGGAACAGCUGGGAGUGGAUCUACUUCGUCUCGAUGGUGAUUUUGGGAGCUUUUUUCGUCAUGAACCUAAUUCUCGGUGUGUUGUCCGGAGAGUUCUCAAAAGAAAGAGAAAAGGCAAAGAACCGGGGGGACUUUCAGAAGCUUCGGGAAAAGCAGCAGUUGGAGGAAGAUCUGAAAGGCUACCUGGAUUGGAUCACGCAGGCUGAGUACUUGGAGCCGCUAGCAGAUCAGCACGACACCACAGACCAGAAGAGAGACUAUGGGAUAGGUGAGGACUACGAAUUCGCAGGUAUCGCUAGCCAAACACAGAACGAACAUGAUUCCACGGACCAUUUAGGUAUAGAAAAUCCGGAACCACAGAAAGUGUCAAUUGGCAUUGCGUGGAGGAAGGAUUUUGAUAAAGUAAACCGUCGUAUGAAACGGGCGUGUCGGCGCGCGGUGAAGUCUCAGACAUUUUACUGGCUGAUCAUAGUGCUCGUGUUUCUCAACACUGUGGUCUUGGCCAGUGAACAUUAUCAGCAACCACAUUGGCUGGACCAUUUCCAAGAGUACGGGAAUGCGUUUUUCGUCGCGCUCUUCACGCUGGAGAUGUUAGUCAAAAUGUAUAGUUUAGGGUUACAAGGUUACUUCGUGUCGUUAUUUAACCGCUUCGAUUGCUUCGUGGUGGUGGGUUCCAUCAGUGAGAUGGUGCUCACCAAGACUGAGGUGAUGCCGCCGCUGGGCAUCUCCGUGCUGCGUUGCGUCAGGCUGCUCAGGGUUUUCAAGGUCACCAAGUACUGGCGCUCCCUCUCCAACCUGGUAGCGUCAUUGCUAAACUCGAUCCAGUCCAUCGCCUCCCUGCUGCUGCUGCUGUUCCUGUUCAUCAUGAUCUUCGCGCUGCUCGGCAUGCAGGUGUUCGGCGGGAAGUUCAACUACGAUCCUGUCGAGGAGAAGGAUAGACACAACUUCGAUUGCUUCUGGCAGGCGCUGUUGACUGUCUUUCAGAUCCUGACCGGCGAAGACUGGAACGCGGUUAUGUACGAAGGCAUCAAGGCGUACGGCGGCGUCGGCUCCGUCGGCAUCCUCGCGUGCAUAUACUUCAUCAUCCUCUUCAUUUGCGGCAACUAUAUCCUGUUGAACGUGUUCUUGGCUAUCGCUGUAGACAACCUCGCUGAUGCGGAGUCGCUCACCAACAUAGAAAAGGAAGAAGGGGCCCCUGAGGAUAAAGAAGGUGGCAGUGUGGUGGCAAUGGAAGGUGGGCACGCUGACACGGAUGAUGAGUAUAUACAUGAUGACGAUGCUUACACUACGGACAACUCUGAAAGAGAAUAUGAGGAAACAGGGUCGGAGGGCGAGCAAGCAGAAGAGUUAGAGGGUGAUAUAGAAGAGGGCAUCGAUGAUGAGAACGACUCCGUCGAAAGGGUCGAAGAGGAACAAGAGAGGGGAGAGGACACAGAGAUGAUCGAAGGUCAUCAGAGGAACCAUAUAGUGAACACAGAGUUCGAUGAAGAGCCUCGUCUGAAACGCAAACCAACAACGUCGUCCGCCAGACCGCGGCGGCUCUCCGAGGUCGAUAUACACGACUCUAAGAAACCGAUACCCGAUGCCACCUCAUUCUUCAUAUUUAGCAAAGAGAACAGGUUUCGCGUGUUCUGCUACAAGAUGUCCUCGUCUUCCACGUUUGGGAACAUUAUCCUGGUUUGCAUCAUGCUGUCCUCGGCCAUGCUGGCCGCAGAGGAUCCGCUUGAUGCCACCCAGAAAGGGUUUAGGAAUUGGUUGCUAAGUCAAUUCGACAUGUUCUUCACGGGCAUCUUCACGCUGGAGCUGUUCCUGAAGCUGGUCACGUACGGGCUGAUCCUCCACCAGGGCGCCUUCCUCCGCUCCGCGUUCAACGUGCUCGACAUGCUUGUCGUCUGCGUCUCGCUCGUCUCCAUGAGUUUCAAGUCUGGUAGUAUAUCUGUGGUGAAGAUUUUGCGAGUGUUCAGGGUGCUGAGGCCUCUUAGGGCCAUUAAUAGGGCCAAGGGCCUUAAGUAUGUGGUGAAAUGUGUGAUAGUAGCCAUUAAGACUAUAGGAAAUAUAAUGCUCGUAACGUAUUUACUUCAAUUUAUGUUCGCUGUCGUCGGCGUACAGUUGUUCAAGGGUAAAUUUUUUAGGUGUAACGAUAUAUCUAAGAUGACAGAGGAUGAGUGCCAGGGGACGUAUUUAGUGUUCGAGAAUCGUAAUUAUGUAGUGAGAGAUCGGGAGUGGAAACGCAACGAUUUCCAUUUCGACAACGUCAUGAAAGGAAUGCUCACUCUGUUCACUGUUUCCACUUUCGAGGGGUGGCCGGGGUUGCUGUACGUGUCUAUAGACUCAAACGCAGAGGAUCGUGGUCCCAUUACUAACUUCCGUCCAAUUGUAGCAGCUUACUAUAUUAUUUAUAUUAUUAUAAUUGCCUUCUUUAUGGUAAAUAUAUUCGUCGGUUUCGUCAUAGUGACAUUCCAAAAUGAGGGUGAGCAGGAAUACAAGAAUUGUGAACUAGAUAAGAACCAGAGGAAUUGUAUUGAAUUCGCGCUCAAAGCAAAGCCUAUCAGAAGGUACAUCCCAAAACACCGAAUCCAGUACAAAGUGUGGUGGUUCGUGACGUCACAGCCGUUUGAGUACGCGAUCUUCGUGCUGAUCAUGAUCAACACGAUCACGCUGGCGAUGAAGUACCACAACCAGUCGCCGGAGUACAGCAAGGCGUUGGACAUGCUGAAUAUGCUGUUCACUGCUGUGUUCGCGUUGGAGUUCAUAUUUAAGCUCGCGGCGUUUAGGUUCAAGAACUACUUCGGCGACGCUUGGAACACCUUCGACUUCAUAAUAGUGCUCGGAAGCAUCAUCGACAUCGUCGUGUCUCAAGUAAACGAACUCAAGAACCAGGGUAGUGGAAUGCCAAGAGCGCACGUGGUUAAGGAGUCCUCAAUCCCGUCGAUAAACUUCUUCCGUUUAUUCCGAGUGAUGAGGCUGGUGAAGCUGUUGUCGAGGGGGGAGGGCAUCCGGACCCUACUGUGGACAUUUAUCAAGUCCUUCCAAGCAUUGCCUUACGUCGCGCUGCUCAUAUUAAUGCUGUUCUUCAUCUACGCCGUGGUUGGGAUGCAGGUCUUUGGAAAGAUAGCGAUAGAUGACAGCACUCCAAUCACGAGGAAUAACCACUUCCAGACUUUCCCUCAGGCUAUCCUCGUGCUGUUUCGUUCUGCGACCGGCGAGGCGUGGCAGGACAUCAUGAUGGGAGUGUCCCCGGAACCGGAGGUGCGCUGCGACAAGAACUACGACGAGGAGGGCGAGGACAGCUCUGGGACCUGCGGCAGCGUGCUCGCCUUCCCAUACUUUAUAUCUUUCUACGUUCUGUGUUCAUUUUUGAUUAUAAAUUUGUUCGUGGCUGUCAUCAUGGACAACUUCGACUAUUUAACUAGAGACUGGUCUAUAUUGGGACCACACCACUUAGAUGAAUUUAUAAGAUUAUGGAGUGAAUACGACCCCGACGCUAAGGGUAGGAUAAAGCAUCUAGACGUAGUUACAUUGUUAAGAAAAAUUAGCCCCCCAUUAGGAUUCGGCAAGUUGUGCCCUCACCGCGUGGCGUGCAAGCGGCUCGUGUCUAUGAACAUGCCACUCAACUCGGACGGCACGGUGCUCUUCAACGCCACGCUCUUCGCCGUCGUCAGGACCUCGUUGAAGAUCAAGACUGAUGGCAACAUAGACGACUGCAACACAGAACUAAGGGCGGUAAUAAAGAAGAUUUGGAAGAGGACGUCCCCCAAACUCCUGGACCAGGUGGUGCCGCCGCCCGGGGACCCCAACGAGAUCACCGUCGGCAAGUUCUACGCCACCUUCCUCAUACAGGACUAUUUCAGGAGGUUCAAAAAGAGGAAAGAACAGGAGAUGCGGCAGACGGACGAGCAGACGCACCAGAUGACGCUGCAGGCUGGCCUGCGGACCCUGCAUGAGGCAGGUCCUGAGCUAAAGAGAGCUAUAUCUGGGAACCUGGACGAUAUUUCAGCGGAGUGUGAUGUGCCUAUGCAUAGGAGGAACCACUCACUGUUCGGCGGCGUGUGGUCCAGCAUACGAAGGCACGGGCCCAACAGACACUUCCACAGGCAUCGGAAGCACGGGGAGCCGCCAGCGGAGGGCGUCGGCAACCACCUAAGCUCGAUGAUGCAACGGGAGUACGGAGUGGGGCCGAUACCACUGGCACCAAACUUAGCAAAUGGACAACCGAAGGAGCAGAUCCCGCUGAGGCCUCUCAUACUGAACGGCGAGUCGGAGAAGAUAUACCAAGUGUUGGAGAGGCGAUAGUACUGGCCGCGGCGUGGUGUCGUUGCCAGGCAGCCCUCGAGGGAACAACUCUUCAGUGCCUGUUGUUGGAUCUGCUGAGAGUCUUGUGACUAGGGUGUUAACAGAGCAAGGUC
rnacentral:misc_RNA from 1 species